UACGUAGGAUGCUAGCGUUGUCCGGAAUUAUUGGGCGUAAAGAGCUCGUAGGCGGUCUGUCGCGUCGGCUGUGAAAACUCGGGGCUCAACCCCGAGCCUGCAGUCGAUACGGGCAGACUAGAGUGCUGUAGGGGAGACUGGAAUUCCUGGUGUAGCGGUGAAAUGCGCAGAUAUCAGGAGGAACACCGGUGGCGAAGGCGGGUCUCUGGGCAGUAACUGACGCUGAGGAGCGAAAGCGUGGGGAGCGAACAGG
rnacentral:rRNA from 1 species